rnacentral:lncRNA from 1 species
AUUCCCCCAGUGUGGCUGACAAUGCUCUCGCCCUUCUCCUCGGCUCCAGAAUCUAAGGCUCCUCGUCAUUUGUGUUCUGAGGCCACUCCGGAUGAUUUCUCUUGGUCGGCUCUUUCUGACUCACCCACGGGUUCUGAUAUGGGAUGACGAUUCCCCCGAAGCUAUGUUCUGCUUUUCAGCCAUGCUGCGAUUUCUGUUCUCAAUUCCAGUGCUGCCUGGAUUCUGGACAUGUGCCUCUUGCUGUACGAUUGUGGGGACCCCAGAGAUCAUCUGUACGGGUGGAUCUGAUGCCCCACCUCCACACCUCGGUGUCCUGCAGUCCUGAGUUUCGAGGGAAAUGCAAUGGGCUCAAGACUCUACCAAAGAUGCCACAGUCUUUCCAAGGAAGGAGCUCUUGCGUAUGGCCCUCAGGCUUUGGAAGCCAGGUCUUCAGAUUACACCACUGAGCAGCCGCCUUGAUAGAGGCCACAGGAAACAUUCUGACUGGGACCACCCAGCGCAGUGACUCCUUCAUCCUUACUUCUGUGAAGAUGUGAUGGAAGCAAUACGUGUGCUACGUCACUUAGGGAAGAAUCUGGCUUGAGACCUCCCCUCCCUUCUUAUCAUCUUCUAUCUGUAUUAGCGCUGAUAGGCAUAAAGCUCUAGGGAGAAUCACCAGUCCAGCAAAACAAAGAGGUUGUUGAAGAAAUCUUAGUUCAGCAGGAGGCUAAACAUAAAGCAAGACAGACCUUUUUUUUUUUUUUUUUUUUUUUUAGUGGUACCAGGGAUCGAACUCACGACUGCCUGUUCACAAGGCAGGUGCUUAUGCCGCUGAGCUAAAUCCCCAAACCAAGACAGACCUUUUGAGGGAACUUCUAACCUGACUUGGAGUGGGUGACAGUCAAACACUAACGUAUUGGUCAGGGCUGCUAAAAGAAGCUACCGCAACCGGUGACUUACGAUGGAAAUGCAUUGUGUUACAAUUUGCAAGGCUAACAGUUUAAAAUUAAUGCGUGGGUGAGACCACGCGCACACUGAAACCUGAAGGCCUUUUAUCCUAGAUUGUUUUUGUGGUUGUUGUUAUUUUUAUUUUUUAUUAAUGUAUAUGCUGUUCAUAAUGUUUACAUCGCUUGUAGGAGGUUGGUAAGUGUACACGAAACACCACAGCACACAGCUAAUUUUGGUGCUUACUUUGGCAGCACAUAUACUAUUAAGAUUAAUUUUGUCAUUAAGACACAAAAACGUGAGCUGUCAGACCCACUUUUUCUUAGAAUAUUUCCAUUGAUGAAUUAUUAAUUUUAGUUUUAUGAGUUUUAUUCUAUUAAGCAGUG